GGGCUUGUAGCUCAGUGGUAGAGCGCCCGCUUUGCAUGCGGGAGGUCUAGGGUUCGAUCCCCUACCAGUCCA
rnacentral:tRNA from 1 species